GACAGAGGGUGCAAACGUUGCUCGGAAUUACUGGGCGUAAAGCGCGUGUAGGUGGAUUGGUGUGUCAGAUGUGAAAGCCCUGGGCUCAACCCAGGAACUGCACCUGAAACUACCAGUCUUGAGUGGUGGAGAGGGAAGUGGAAUUCCUGGUGUAGCGGUGAAAUGCGCAGAUAUCAGGAGGAACACCGAUGGCGAAGGCAGGUCUCUGGGCCACUACUGACGCUGAGAAGCGAAAGCAUGGGGAGCGGACAGG
rnacentral:rRNA from 1 species